rnacentral:rRNA from 1 species
AACGAACGCUGGCGGCAUGCUUAACACAUGCAAGUCGAACGGUAACAGGUCCUUCGGGAUGCUGACGAGUGGCGCACGGGUGAGUAACGCGUAGGAACCUAUCCAGAGGUGGGGACAACAUUCGGAAACGGAUGCUAAUACCGCAUACCUUCUAUGGAAGAAAGGCUUCGGCCGCCCUUGGCGGGUCCUGCGUCGGAUUAGUUAGUUGGUGGGGUAAAGGCCUACCAAGACAUCGAUCCGUAGCUGGUCUGAGAGGAUGAUCAGCCACACUGGGACUGAGACACGGCCCAG